rnacentral:rRNA from 1 species
AUGAGUCCACAAUACCUUCCUAUAUGCGGUAUUUACCUGCUGUUCGAAGUAAAUUUGUAUGUGCCAAACUCCAAACCUUCAAAUGAAAUUCUGUUUUGUAUGCUCGAGCAACUCAUGUCUCGACUAGGGCUGCCUAUAUCUUCCAUGCUAGGUGGGUUAUUAUCAAGAGGAGUGGACUCCGCUCCUCAUUCACGAGAAAGGGCUGGUAACCGAGAUGCCCAGUCCCAUGAUCCAAAAAGAUCAAAGCAAAUCAAUAUAAUUAAACAAAACUCCCCCAGGGUUGUUGUUAGUUGGAGGCACUCGUUGUUUCGAGCAAGCCAUGGAUUGAUGCUUGUUGGUGGUGGGGGAGUAUAA